UUCCGGUUGAUCCCGCCAGACCUGACUGCUAUCGGAUUGAUACUAAGCCAUGCGAGUCAUUGUAGCAAUACAAGGCAGACGGCUCAGUAACGCGUAGUCAAUCUACCCUAUGGACGGGAAUAACCUCGGGAAACUGAGAAUAAUGCCCGAUAGAACAUUAUGCCUGGAAUGGUUUAUGUUUCAAAUGAUUUAUCGCCAUAGGAUGGGACUGCGGCCUAUCAGUUUGUUGGUGAGGUAAUGGCCCACCAAGACUAUUACAGGUACGGGCUCUGAGAGGAGUGGCCCGGAGAUGGGUACUGAGACACGGACCCAGGCCCUAUGGGGCGCAACAGGCGAGAAAACUUUGCAAUGUGCGAAAGCACGACAAGGUUAAUCCGAGUGGUUUCUGCUAAAGAAACCUUUUGUCAGUCCUAGAAACACUAACGAAUAAGGGGUGGGCAAGUUCUGGUGUCAGCCGCCGCGGUAAAACCAGCACCUCAAGUGGUCAGGAUGAUUAUUGGGCCUAAAGCAUCCGUAGCUCGUUUUGUAAGUUUUCGGUUAAAUCCAUGCGCUUAACGUAUGGGCUGCCGGGAAUACUGCAUAACUAGGAAGUGGGAGAGGUAGACGGUACUCGGUAGGAAGGGGUAAAAUCCUUUGAUCUAUUGAUGACCACCUGUGGCGAAGGCGGUCUACCAGAACACGUUCGACGGUGAGGGAUGAAAGCUGGGGGAGCAAACCGGAUUAGAUACCCGGGUAGUCCCAGCUGUAAACUAUGCAAACUCAGUGAUGCAUUGGCUUGUGGCCAAUGCAGUGCUGCAGGGAAGCCGUUAAGUUUGCCGCCUGGGAAGUACGUACGCAAGUAUGAAACUUAAAGGAAUUGGCGGG
rnacentral:rRNA from 1 species